GACGAACGCUGGCGGCGUGCCUAAUACAUGCAAGUAGAACGCGCAGUUUAUACCGUAGCUUGCUACACCAUAGACUGUGAGUUGCGAACGGGUGAGUAACGCGUAGGUAACCUGCCUGGUAGCGGGGGAUAACUAUUGGAAACGAUAGCUAAUACCGCAUAAUAUUCAUUAUUGCAUGAUAAUUAAUUGAAAGGUGCAAUUGCACCACUACCAGAUGGACCUGCGUUGUAUUAGCUAGUAGGUGAGGUAACGGCUCACCUAGGCGACGAUACAUAGCCGACCGUAGAGGGUGAUCGGCCACACUGGGCCUGAGACACGGCCCAGACUCCUACGGGAGGCAGCGGUAGGGAAUCUUCGGCAAUGGACGAAAGUCUGACCGAGCAACGCCGCGUGAGUGAAGAAGGUUUUCGGAUCGUAAAGCUCUGUUGUAAGAGAAGAACGGGUGUGAGAGUGGAAAGUUCACACUGUGACGGUAUCUUACCAGAAAGGGACGGCUAACUACGUG
rnacentral:rRNA from 1 species